AUCGGCAUGGCUCCUCCCCCCAUGGGGCUUAAGACUGGGCCUGCAGGGGUCAUGCAGUGUUCCUGGGAGCUGGUGGUUUGGGGGUUUGGGGACUACCUGGCCCUCCAUGAGCCUGUUGUGGCUGUGCACCUUGUGGAAGCUGGUCUUCCUCCCUGGGGCACUCAGUCCUGGAUUUCUCCAUCCAAUAAGGAUUUGGCUGUGGCUGAAGCACCUGUCCUCUCCCCACAUGCCUCUCAACUCCACCUGCAGAGGGCUUCUUUGUGUGACAUGGAAGGAAACAGAGCCAUUCUCAGUGUGGCCUGGGAAGGGGUGGGGCCCACGACUGUCCAGUGGCCAGCGCAUCAGUGUCUGCAGAUGCUGUGUCAUGCGGCCACCCCAGCAGCUGAUUUUGCUGCCACACGCUCUAGGUGGUGGUCUGGAGGGAGAGGGUGCUGAUUUGUCUGUGUAGCUUCCAGGGGGCCAUGGCAGAGUGCCAGGGAGGGAGUCCAAGCCAGGUGUGGAGGAGCUCAGCUCCUGCCUCCUUCCCCAGAGGCCAACUGGUCUUGCCCUCUUCCUCCAGGGACUCUGUAAGCUCGGUUCGGCUGGAGGGACUGACUUCAGCAUGAAGCAGUUUGCUGAAGGCUCCACUCUCAAACUGGCUAAGCAGUGUCGAAAGUGGCUGUGCAAUGACCAGAUCGACGCAGGCACUCGGCGCUGGGCAGUGGAGGGCCUGGCUUACCUGACCUUUGAUGCCGACGUGAAGGAAGAGUUUGUGGAGGAUGCGGCUGCUCUGAAAGCUCUGUUCCAGCUCAGCAGGGUAGCUCUGUGGUUCCUGCCGUCAGCCUGGGGACACUGUCUAGGAUUAGACCUUACCAGGCUUUCUCGGCAGGGCUUGGCCAAUGGGGUCUUUUGACCCCAGGGAAGAGGGCUGGUGGCUGAGUGGCUGCUCUGUGUAGUGUGGGCAUGUUGGCCAGCACCAGUGGUGUUAGCAAGGAUGUUCUUCUUGGAGGAGCUGGGGAGGUCAAGUUUGUAAGCUCCCAAAGUCUGGGGCCUGGGAGUUUCCUGAAUUCAUCCUGUACCCAAGGGUCCCAGCUGAGGGUGGAAUUGGGGGCCUGGGCCUGGGCAGCAUUUAUCUGAGUACUGCUCUGCCCCGGGAUGCCCAUGUGAAUUCCUCUGUGUCCUGGCAGUCGGAGGAGAGGUCAGUGCUCUUUGCGGUGGCCUCAGCGCUGGUGAACUGCACCAACAGCUACGACUACGAGGAGCCCGACCCCAAGAUGGUGGAGCUGGCCAAGUAUGCCAAGCAGCAUGUGCCCGAGCAGCACCCCAAGGACAAGCCAAGCUUCGUGCGGGCUCGGGUGAAGAAGCUGCUGGUGGCGGGUGUGGUGUCGGCCAUGGUGUGCAUGGUGAAGACGGAGAGCCCUGUGCUGACCAGUUCCUGCAGAGAGCUGCUCUCCAGGGUCUUCUUGGCUUUAGUGGAAGAGGUAGAGGACCGAGGCACUGUGGUUGCCCAGGGAGGCGGCAGGGCGCUGAUCCCGCUGGCCCUGGAAGGCACGGACGUGGGGCAGACAAAGGCAGCCCAGGCCCUUGCCAAGCUCACCAUCACCUCCAACCCGGAGAUGACCUUCCCUGGCGAGCGGAUCUAUGAGGUGGUCCGGCCCCUCGUCUCCCUGUUGCACCUCAACUGCUCAGGCCUGCAGAACUUCGAGGCGCUCAUGGCCCUAACAAACCUGGCUGGGAUCAGCGAGAGGCUCCGGCAGAAGAUCCUGAAGGAGAAGGCUGUGCCCAUGAUAGAAGGCUACAUGUUUGAGGAGCAUGAGAUGAUCCGCCGGGCAGCCACGGAGUGCAUGUGUAACUUGGCCAUGAGCAAGGAGGUGCAGGACCUCUUCGAAGCCCAGGGCAAUGACCGACUGAAGCUGCUGGUGCUGUACAGUGGAGAGGAUGAUGAGCUGCUACAGCGGGCAGCUGCCGGGGGCUUGGCCAUGCUUACCUCCAUGCGGCCCACGCUCUGCAGCCGCAUUCCCCAAGUGACCACACACUGGCUGGAGAUCCUGCAGGCCCUGCUUCUGAGCUCCAACCAGGAGCUGCAGCACCGGGGUGCUGUGGUGGUGCUGAACAUGGUGGAGGCCUCGAGGGAGAUUGCCAGCACCCUGAUGGAGAGUGAGAUGAUGGAGAUCUUGUCAGUGCUAGCUAAGGGUGACCACAGCCCUGUCACAAGGGCUGCUGCAGCCUGCCUGGACAAAGCAGUGGAAUAUGGGCUUAUCCAACCCAACCAAGAUGGAGAGUGAGGGGGUUGUCCCUGGGCCCAAGGCUCAUGCACACGCUACCUAUUGUGGCACGGAGAGUAAGGACGGAAGCAGCUUUGGCUGGUGGUGGCUGGCAUGCCCAAUACUCUUGCCCAUCCUCGCUUGCUGCCCUAGGAUGUCCUCUGUUCUGAGUCAGCGGCCACGUUCAGUCACACAGCCCUGCUUGGCCAGCACUGCCUGCAGCCUCACUCAGAGGGGCCCUUUUUCUGUACUACUGUAGUCACCUGGGAAUGGGGAAGGUGCAUCCCAACACAGCCUGUGGAUCCUGGGGCAUCCGGAAGGGCGCACACAUCAGCAGCCUCACCAGCUGUGAGCCUGCUAUCAGGCCUGCCCCUCCAAUAAAAGUGUGUAGAACUCCA
rnacentral:sRNA from 1 species